rnacentral:ncRNA from 1 species
CUUAUCAAGAGAGGUGGAGGGACUGGCCCUUUGAAACCCGGCAACCAGUAUAUUUCUUAUAUACAUGGUGCUAAAUCCUGCAGCACAUAGCUGGAAGAUAAG